AAACAAACAACGCAAAAGAUUGUGUGUGUCAUUGGGUGUCAAAUAACGAGAAGAAGAGAAUGACGUGUUCUCCCGGCACCUAUUUAUUCUAUAGUUGCACCGGUAGUGACAGGGGCUGUCGCCGGCCAACUUGUUGGUGUUUUUCCAUUGUAUGCUUCAGACACUGGUCACAACAAGGCGUUCCCCAUAGCGACCCCUUGAGGACGCAGUUCAAAGUUCCCUUGAAAGGGAACAUGAAUUUAAAGUGCUUUUGAUGCCUUGUCUUUGUAAAGACAAAUUGCAAUUAGUGUCAAGUCAUCAAAAAGAGCCACAAAAGAUGCUACAUGUGUGCUUUUUACACUUAAGAAAAAGCAAAAAAAAAAAGAGCAAAAAUGUAAACCCUAAAAAUCUGUCAGCACAUUUUACUGUGUUGCCUCUAAAAUCUUUGUGAAUGUGAAUUCAAAUCUGAUGUGGAUGUGAACAAAACACGUUUCCUAUCUCAUUCUCUUGCUUUGUACACCUUCCAUUCUUCAUUCUUUCUUUAUAACCUAGUCUUCUUAACGUGACAAGCACGCUCUAGUGUCCCUAAAAGUGGGCCACUUCUUACACAGCAUAAUGUUGAAAGAGGUCAUUGGUACCAGGAUAUGCAUCACAACAGCUAUGUAUUGACCUACUUACACAUAACCUGUUCUAUCUUUUCUAUCUGUUCUUUUGUCAUCUUUAAUGGACAAAACAUAAAUGGGUGCAAACUGAUCAAUUUGGGCUGCAUGGUCAGUUUUUUUCAGCCCUAGUUUGCUGUGUACAGCCCCUGUAUCAACAACACAAACUUUAACCUAAAUUGUGAAAUCCAGGUGCCUAAGGUUACUUCAAGAUCUUUUUUGUGUGUGUGCUGUUUUGAGCCCCAUUGAGCAUAAUUGGCACCAUUAGCGGACAUUGAUUUAUAUUUGUUAACAGAAAUAAAUCAUAGAAUUUCUGUAUGUGUUGUGGAUGCACUGAGAUUACAAUUCUGCAUGGAUAAGAUGAUAAUUAUGGCAUCUAAUAAUGUUUUAAAUUAAUGCUAAGUGAGAUUUAUACUACUGUUCAAAACAUUUGGGGUCAGUGGGAUUUUUUUUUUUAAUGUUUUUAAUUGUUUACAAUUAAAAUGACUCUUUUUUUAAUUUGCUGCUGAAGAAACAUUUAUCAUUAUUAUCAGUGUUAAUAUAAUAUGCUUAAUAUUUUGUGAAAACCAUGAUACAUUUUUUCAGGAUUAUUUCAUGAAUAGAAUUUUUAAAUGAACACCAUUUAUUUGAAAUUGAAAUCAUUUGUCACAUUAUAAAUGCCUUUACUGACACUUUGUAUUUACUGUCACUUUUCUGAAAAAAAAAGUAUUAAUUACUUACAUUUAUUUUCCCACUUGUUUGAAUGAUGGUGUAGAUUACAAAAAAGGUAAUCUAAAUGUAAAAAAAAGUGGAAAUGAGCUGCACAAUUAAAUAUCCAAUGACUCAAUGUUGCAGAGUGCAUGUAACCUCUCUAGCUUUGCAAUGUAAGGAAAACAAACCCUGUCUUCUUUGCAAGAUCUUAGUAAAUGUGGUCUGGUGACAUUGGUUGGCUUUUCAUGCUUGCUGUCUGCACGUGUUUGCAAAGGGAAGUCUUCAUUAUGUGAGAGUACUUUCGAAUGUUCCAUUUGACCUGAUAUUAACUCCACUCUACAUUUGUCUAUUGUGACUGCUGCUGCCAGACUAAAGUAAGGACGGGUGACUACCCAGAGCAGUAGGUUGCAACAUAAGCUAUCUGAACAUGUUUUAAAAAAGGGAACAUGAUGUGCAAUUCCAUGCUCAGCUGCUUGCAGUAACUCUAAAGCAGAGACUGAUCUCAUCUGUGUGUUCGGAGAGCGUGUUUUUGUUGAAACACAGCCACAAACUUUCCUAAUCCACUUACAACAAACUUUCACCCAAUUCCUUCAUGCAUAUACAAAAGUGCACAAUGUGCAACAGUUGCACACUGACAGACUAAAACUUAUUACUCAAGUUCUGAUUAUUUGCAUCCAAAAUUAACAAUCACUAAGUGCCAAGCAAAACCUGUUUUUUUAAAAGUAAAUACUGUUACAUGUAGAGACAAGUGUGUUGGCAAGAAGAACGCUAGUAGACUGACAAGCCUUAGAGACUUUGGUUAUUUGCCAGUUAGAUGGUGACUUUGAACUCCAACAUAAUACUAAGAAUGAUAGUCUGACCCUCACACAUGCAAGAAACAAAAAAGAUUCCAAUCCAAUCUACUAAAGAAAAAUGUUGCCACUUAUAGCAACUUUUUACCUCCAAAGUAGCAUAAGAAGUUGACAAUUUAAGAUGCAAAUUUAUUUUUCUCUCUAAAGAAUUUUAUAAAGACUCAUUUGUGAAAUAUUGCCCACAAAUAAACCACCAAGAAGAAAGUAUGAAGAACAACACCGCUUUUUUGGGAAAGGUACCACUUAAUUAAUUAUUUCUGCACUGUUAAAAAUUAGAAAAUAGUCCAAAAUACAAUUCCAUGACUGGUAUGAAAUAUUUCUGGUUCAUUUUGUCAAUUUGUAAAAAGAAUAAAAGUAAGACCCUGCUAAUUACAUUAAACCAAAAAAAUCAGUGCUUCAAAAAAUAUUGCUUUGUAUUGAAGUAAUUCAGUGCAAGAACAAUGUGUUCCACAGCAGAAUAUUUCCAGCAUUAUUCAUCAAGCAUUAAAAUUCAGUUCACACCUAACGUUGUUGAGCAGAUUGAACUCUAAAUCUGGAAAUUUCCUUUUUAAGGCGACGUCAUGUGGAUUUGCUACAAAACGUUUGUGUUUCUGAACAAUAUGUGUGACUGUGUCAAUGGCAUGUGAUUGCUGCUCAGAUGGCUUUAUCUAAAAAUAAAGCAGAGCUGGCUGAAAUAUCCCCACGGUAUAAAUAUUCAGUCACCUACAUUUGGCCUGCUUUGGAUAAUUCAGCUUACGUGACAAAUUCCCCUUCAUCACUGUGAGUGUGCAGAGAGCAGCGUAGACACUCUGUGCUAAAAUCCUUGCAAACACAAAAGUAGAUCACAGAUUUUUUUUCCCCCCCUUUUCAUUCUGUCUGCUUUUUUGGCAUCUAAAAGAAACCCAUGUAAUUUAAUCUAAUGAAUGUGCCUCUUUUGUGUCUAUAUGCCUAGGGCUCUUUUACAUUACAUUUAUUAUUUAUAUUUGCACGACAAUAGCCUGCAGAAUAACUUGUCUGAACCGAGAUGGAAAAAAAAAUUAGAUUCUUGAUCUGCUUGCAGUUCUGGCAUGAAUUGAUUGUUCCACUUUAAUUGCUUAAUUUAGAACAAAUAGAUUAGAUUAGAGUUUAGUGGAUCUGCAUAUGAUCCACCGGUUGACUUACAAGUUACAAUCUAACUGUCACAGAAGAAACAACAUUUGCAAAAGGUGGAGUUGUUGUUAGAAGCCAAUUAAGAGCCAUUAACACAUUUGCACAAUCCUUCUCCAGCUUUUUGGUGGGACUUGUUUACCAAGGCUUCCUGGAUUUGCAGCUCUAAAUGUACUCUAAAUGACAAUAAGUGAAUAUUAGUGCUUGUUAAUUAACCCAGAAACUAUGUAAAGAUGUUGCAGGAAGAGUGUUGUAUAAGAUCCCUAUUGUGUCAGUCUAAAACAAGGCAAGCAAGGAACCAAAGAGAACAACCAGAGUCCUUUAUUUUCUACUAUCAAAAAGUCCUAUGGGCUGCAGAAAAAUUUCUAUCACAUAAAGAAGGAAGUCGCUCUCUUCCCUUGUUUCUUUGGCGGUGUCCUCCCUGUCUUCUGUGGCUAGUCGAAACUUUAAAGAAAUACUGCUUUUUGGUCUAUGCGUCAACCACAUCAAACAGACCAGGUGAUACAUUCUGUCUGUGUUCAGUCCUCAGAGCUACAUGCAUUACCCCCCCCCCCCCCCCCCACACACACACACACACAUCUGCCCUUUCACAUCUCCUCCCACUUUGUCUCCCAUAUGCUUCUGAAUGGCCUCAGGGCUCUGCGCACUGCUUACACAGCAAACACACCGUAGACAGCGCAGAUACACCAUACAGAAGAGAUUUUGCCUGAAAAUAAGCAGGGUGUGAGAUGGAGGGUAGCCAGACAGCUGUAGCACCAGAAUGAGAGAGGCCGAGAGAGAAAGUACACUAUACAGAAUGAACAAAGCUCAGGGUAACCACUUUAACAAGCAAUCAAUACAUUAAAUCUAGUGAUGUCACAAUUCUCAAUAUUGAACCAUUUGGUACAACAUCCACAGUUCAGUAUGCAAUUGUGUUUUUUUUGGUUUUGUUUUGAUUAAUUUCCAUGUGUUUUAUUUCUCUCCUAGUUGGCUGUUUGUGUGCCCGACUUUACGCGCUGACAUGAGGAAAUACCUCCUUAACCUGUAUUUGAAAAGAGCAUACGACAAAACAUCUUCUCUUGUUAUGACUUGUAAUGAGAAGCAUUUCUAAAUCUGUUGUCCAACAAAAGAGAACAUAACGUUUUUACUCCACAACAUCAGUCGAAUGAUUGAAAUAACUUCCUUUUGUCAUCUGAUGUGGCUUCUUAUCACAGAAUGAGGAAGAAAAUAUAUUCUAUACUGUAAAAAGGCUAUGUCGAUUAGCAGUGGAUUAUAAAUAUACUUGAUUAUCAUGUAAAUACCUGAGAUGGCUUGUAGAACACAGAUUAACCAUUUAUUGCUGCAGUCGAGCAUUUAUUGUCUUCAUGUUUCAUCAUUCCAAACAUUUCUAUCUUGUUAUUCAGCUGCUACAGUGGGAGCUGGAUGCUUUUGUCCAUAUUAAGGAUUUCCUGGAACACCAUCAGUUCUAUUACUUCUAAAAAUUCUAUUACUUUUGUGAUGCAUAUGUGGAGUUUCUGGACUCCCAGUGUCCAGUAUGAAUGAAACCUAUAUUACAUGUUUAUAGCACUUUUAUAAUCACAUUUUAAAUUACAGUUUGCAAAAAACUCUAAUGUGCCAAGAAAUCAGAACCAAAACGAACCAAAUUGAAAACCGUGGUUAAAAAAAUGAGGUAUGUAUUGAACCAUGGCCUAACUGUAUUGUUGAAUCCCUAAUUGAAACUGAAAGCAUAAUUUUUGUUUAGAAUUUUAUAAAAUAUUUUUUGUUUAAACUGUUUUUCUUCAUCAAAUGAGGAUGCAUAGCUCAUACUGUGUGUGUGUGUGUAUUACUUAUUUUGCAGUUUAAUGUGCAGAGACAACUUUAAAUAAGUUAUUUCACAGGAUGACGUCCAUGUCAUCACAUAGUCCAGAAAUCCUAUUGUGGCAUAUUACAUGCUCAAAUUAAAAAGCACACUGAUAUUCCAUAUUAUAAUAAUAUUAUAAAAAAGUAAAUUAUUAUAAUUUUUUCAGUAUGCAUUGUGUAUAUUGUGCAUAUUGAUAAACCUGCUGUACAAUCAAGUCAUAAACAUAUUUCUUGUACAUUUUGAAUUUAGAAAAUUGCUUUUUAUCUUUUCAGUAAAAUUCUUGUUUCACUCCAAAUUUGGUUACUAUCAGCUCAUGCUUCCGUGCUUGGUUUAUUAGUAGGACCCCUUCUCGGUUAAAUAGAAUCGGGGAGUUGUUGUCUAGGUCGGAUCGAUUCAGUUUGUGAACCGGUUCAACCUACUCAAAAGAACAAUUCGGAUAGAUGCUAUAACAUCAUUACGUGGUGGCUGGACAAUUUUAAUACAGUGAUCAGUCACUUGACUUCUAUUGUUGCAAAAUAAUUUGAAUCAGCUUCUCAUGAAGCAAAGAUGCUAGUCAAAUGCUAAUGAAUUGCUCUCUUCAGGUAGACUUCCUAUUUUUUUUACUUCAUUACUUUUGUCGGUAUGUCAGUGAUCAUGUCGAGUGUUCCGUGUUUUCUGUCAGCUCUUUAGAAUCGGAACUAGCAAUGUCUAACUUGUGAAUGAUUCAUUCGAGUUGGUUCUGCUCAAUGAAUCGGUCAUACUUGUUAACAAAACUGUCUAAAUAGGUUUGCGAUUCAGUCUGAAUCAUUUACAGCAUGCACAAACUGAAUUAUUUGUGUGGUAAAACUAGCAUGCGAUUACAAUACAAAGUAAAAAAAAAAAAAAAACUCUGAAUAAAGUGGAUAUUGCAAUGCCUUUUUCUGUCAAAUCUGUUUGGAAUCAGGAAUUAGCUGACCUUGAUUUAUCUGUCGACUUGGGAGGGGGUGUGGCCUAAUCACAGUUUGGCCUUUAGGGACUUGGCUCAUCGUCUUAUAUAUUUCAAAGUUAUUCAUAGAGCAUGUAUAGUAACACAGAAUGUGUGGAUGAUGUCUGUUGUUGUUGUUGUUAUUGUUUUGGUGUUUGUUGUAUGUAUAAAAAUAAAUAAAUUUGAUCUCAAAAAAAAAAAAAAAAAAGAUUGUAACAUUUGGAUUAAAUCUAAAUGUAGGUCAAUGUGUCACGCUGGAGACCACCAGAGUAGCCUUCUGUUUAAUGCAUUAGAGAUCACCUUAAAUAGGACUGUUGAAAGGACACAGCUGCUCCCCCUGUUUACCCCAGUGUAUGAGUGCAUGUGUUUUGUAAUCACUCUUCCUGCUGAGUGUGUAAAGAGAGCACUGCUUUCAUAGCUCAAUACAAGUCUGUACGUUUGUGCAAAUAAGAGUGUAGUAAAACAGUUUUCAGCUCAGAAUGCCUAAAUACAGUAAAUUUAGUGCCCCAUGGACUAAUAUAUAAUAUAAUAUAAUAUAAUAUAAUAUACAUACAGUAUGAUAAACAUAAACUGCCAGCCCAAAGUUUGGAAAGAGGUUUUUCAUGUUUUUGAAAGCGGUCUCUAACGGGGGCAUUAACACCACACCAUUUUCAACUAAAAACUGAAAACUUUUUUAAUGCGUCUUGGCCGUUCAUUUACAUGACUGUGGUGUUUUGGGGGCCUGAAAACGGAAAUGAAUGAAAAUAGGUUUCAAAGUGCACACUUUUGUAAACAAUGCAGUUGUGUAAACUACAAAAAAUGUGAAUUUGUGAAAAUGGUGAUGUCAUGCACAUGUGUAUUAUGUGUUUAGUCCAAAGCUAUGUGCACAGGCACAUAGUGUUUAGCAUGCAGCAUCUUGGCCAUUUUUGCAAAUCCUUGUUAACGGGAUCGUUUUUGACAAUGUUGUCGUCUAUACGCAAAACUUUUGAAUAAAUAUUGUAAAAUAGUAUUCAUAUAAAAUAACUACUUUCUAUCUUAAUAUAUUUUGAAAGGUAUUUUAUUUCUGUGAUGGCACAGCUGAAUUUUUCAGCAGCCAGUGUCACAUGAUCCUUCAAAAAUCAUUCUAAUAUUUGGUGUUCAGUUAUUAUCACAUAUGGUGUUCAGUUCUGGUUCUUCUUAUAUGCAUAUGUAUGCACCUUUUCUUUCUUUUUUCUUUUUUGUGGAGGAAGCAUACCAUGUUCAUUGUCAAGAUUAAGAAACAUAGUUUUAUCUGUUUUUGAUUUGUUGUAAGAUGUUAAUCCUUUCACAGUUGUUUUCAUUGAAAAGGAUUAACUGCAAUUUUAAAACCUCUGUUUCAUUUGUUAACUUGUGUUGUGUUGGGGUCCACCUGCUAUGCUAAUCCCUCGUAAAAAUGCAUGGUUUAGUACAAGUAGUAGUUGAAAAGAGAGGGAUAAAACCCCUGUGUUAACAGUUUGUAGUCCAUCCUAACAUAUCCAAUACAUGUCAAUAGUAAAACUAGCUUCAGAAAGCCAGGUAUGGUUUUCCAGAUGUUCAAUGUAGUCUGAUCUUUAAAUGUCACCGCAAGACAGCAUUAAUAAGCAGCAUGCUUUAUUUGUUCCAUCAGUGAGGUCAAGCAUUCUGACAGAUCCAAGCUGGAAUGCAAGUGGGUCGGCAACCCCCAGUUCAGGAUCGGAAAUCAUUCCUCUCAUGCCUCAGAGCGGAGUAGUGCUGACGCUGGAACUGAGCAGGCCAGGGGAAUACCCUGUGGGCUUUACCUGUCUCUCUGAGACUACAAACAUUAAUGUUGGCCGUGUGGGUCCAAUAAAAUGUUGCUUACAUACUGAAUCAAAUGUUUAAAACUGAAUCAAGGGCAAAAAUCUGUUUUUCUCCACAGCUGUUCAGAUUAAGUGUCUUUUUAUUAUUAAUUAGCCUUUCUUUCUUCUACAUAUUACUACAUAUUUAUGGCUGAAAAAUAUUUUCUGAGCAGCCUGUGCCACGGCAUCAACAGAGCUCUUUUGUUCUUGAUCAUGAACUUUCAAACCUAAGGACUGUGUGUGACAUUGAACUAGUGAGGACUCAACAAUAUGGCCCAGUAGCCCAGGGCCAGCUUAUGAAACUGUAUGUAGACAUACAGUAUAUACUACAGUUGGUGUGUGUGUGUGUGUGUGUGUGUGUGUGUGUGUGUGUGUGUGUGUGUGUGUGUGUGUGUGUGUGUGAAAAAUAAUGGAAUAGAAAACACUUCUUUCAAAUUGUGAUAAGAUUUCUCAUUGUUACUGCUUUUGAAAUUUUAUUCAAAUAAAUGCAGCUUUGCAGUUAAAAAAAUAUCUUUAUCUAAAAAAAAAAAAAGUGACCAUCCCUAAAAAUUUGAACAGUAAUGUUUACUACUAUUGCCUUAACUUUUGUUAGAUGUUGCUAGAUCAUUUUAGGUUUCAUAAAAUACCCCUCUGUGCUUCUUCAGUCUUGAUUAUCUAGUGUUAUAACAAACCUGAUCUGUGUCUAAUGAGAGCAAUCAAACAUCAGUGGAGACCAAACACUGUUUCCCUGGGGGUCUAGAUAUUUCACAUUGAAUACAGAUCAACCAUUUACAUAUUAUGUUAUGAAUAAAUUAAUGUUUUCAUUCACCAACAGAUGCGAUGUCAGAAACACACAAUCAGAGGCUAAAUUAACAGUCCAGUUAUAACCAUUACAAUAACCAGGGGAGCUCCAAACACAGGACCAAACCAAACACAACAUCCUUUGGUUUGUUACUUGCUAACACAGAUUGGGUUAAAUCACUUUAGUAAGAGAGAAUGUACUCCAUAACAAAAAUAAUUUUUUUUCCCUUCUAUAUGUCAUUUUUUUCAGUAAUACCAGUAUUAUAAUGUUAGUUUGUGUAUAAUAAUGCAUUGUUUAUUGUGAGAAGAUUUGUAUGUUGUUUAUUGAGUACAUUUACAUAUAUCACUCUGUUUAUAUAUGGUACUAUGACAAAGUGAUUUGAAUCAUUUCUGAGCAUGUUAUUUGUUUCUUGGUUUUACAAGGCUGGGUGGGGGUGGGGGAUUGUGGAUAGAAAGCUUUUGUCUUUUCUUUGUUUUUUGAUAACCUUUCUAGAUUGUAACUCAUAAUCCAGAUUGCAGAUUAGCAGCUGUUGAUGCAGUGGUCUGAGUAUUAAUCUCCACAACUGGGUGCUCCUAUCAUCUACCUGGAUGAGGCAAGGGUCAAACCGGAGGAUAACUCAGGAUUAUUCUUCUUGGCAACAACAAAAUGGGCAAGCAUCAUGCAAAUAAUCCUCAUGGAAUCCUUGAGGAAGAUGAUUGAGGCCUCUGGAAUAACAUCCCGAGGUCUUCCUGUUUUGUGUAAAGGGUGUAUCCUGGCCGGGAUUUCUAAAUGAAAGUGUGUGACCCAAACACUGUACCAAGAUUGUGAAAAGUUCCAAAGAAUAAUGAGGACCUAUAACCAAGGAUUUACACAAGCUCCAGUCUGGAUCCAGAACACCUGAGAAGAGAUGAUGCCAACCCCUCAGAGGACAUCAGAUGAUGCUAACCCAGAGACAACAUACAGAACUACCACAUUUUGCUAUAAGUUUGAUUGCAAAAUUGCUGUUAAUAGUGUUAAUCGUCUGUUUGUUUACGUCUUUUUAUUGAUUUUUCUGAACAUUUCUGCCAUAUGCACAUGAACUGACAGUCACCACUGAUAAGCUACUACUAAAUAUUGUAGAAACUUAAUUUUCUGUAAAGUUGCUUUGUAAUGAUUUGUAUCGUAAAAAGCGCUAUACAAAUAAACUUGAAUUGAAUUGAAUUAAAUGCAAAAUGGAAAAGGAGCAUAUAUAUAUAUAUAUAUAUAUAUAUAUAUAA
ensembl:lncRNA